AUUGAACGCUGGCGGCAUGCCUUACACAUGCAAGUCGAACGGCAGCACGGGAGCAAUCCUGGUGGCGAGUGGCGAACGGGUGAGUAAAGUAUCGGAACGUGCCCAGUCGUGGGGGAUAACGUAGCGAAAGUUACGCUAAUACCGCAUACGAUCUAUGGAUGAAAGCGGGGGAUCGCAAGACCUCGCGCGAUUGGAGCGGCCGAUAUCAGAUUAGGUAGUUGGUGGGGUAAAGGCUCACCAAGCCGACGAUCUGUAGCUGGUCUGAGAGGACGACCAGCCACACUGGGACUGAGACACGGCCCAGACUCCUACGGGAGGCAGCAGUGGGGAAUUUUGGACAAUGGGCGAAAGCCUGAUCCAGCCAUGCCGCGUGCAGGAUGAAGGCCUUCGGGUUGUAAACUGCUUUUGUACGGAACGAAAAGGUUUGACUUAAUACGUUGGACUCAUGACGGUACCGUAAGAAUAAGCACCGGCUAACUACGUGCCAGCCGCCGCGGUAAGAC
rnacentral:rRNA from 1 species